UACAGAGGUGGCAAGCGUUGUCCGGAAUUACUGGGCGUAAAGGGCGCGUAGGCGGCCAUCUAAGUCAGACGUGAAAUCCCCCGGCUUAACCUGGGAACUGCGUCUGAUACUGGACGGCUUGAGUAUGGGAGAGGGAUGUAGAAUUCCAGGUGUAGCGGUGAAAUGCGUAGAUAUCUGGAGGAAUACCGGUGGCGAAGGCGGCAUCCUGGACCAUUACUGACGCUGAGGCGCGAAAGCUAGGGGAGCAAACGGG
rnacentral:rRNA from 1 species